rnacentral:rRNA from 1 species
GAUGAACGCUGGCGGCGUGCCUAAUACAUGCAAGUCGAGCGAACGGACGAGGAGCUUGCUUCUCUGACGUUAGCGGCGGACGGGUGAGUAACACGUGGAUAACCUACCUAUAAGACUGGGAUAACUUCGGGAAACCGGAGCUAAUACCGGAUAAUAUUUUGAACCGCAUGGUUCAAUAGUGAAAGACGGUUUUGCUGUCACUUAUAGAUGGAUCCGCGCUGCAUUAGCUAGUUGGUAAGGUAACGGCUUACCAAGGCGACGAUGCGUAGCCGACCUGAGAGGGUGAACCGGCAACACGGAACUGAGACACGGUCCAGACUCCUAAGGGAGGCAGCAGUUGGGAAUUUUCCGCAAUGGGGGAAAGCCUGACGGAGCCAAGCCGCGUGGGUGAAGAAGGUCUUCGGAUUGUAAAACCCUUUUAAUUGGGAAGAAAAAAAGGGGAAGGAAACAGUGCCGUUUUGACGGUACCUAAACAAAAAGCCCCGGCUAAAUUCGUG